CCUACGGGUGGCUGCAGUGGGGAAUAUUGGGCAAUGGGCGCAAGCCUGACCCAGCAACGCCGCGUGAGUGAAGAAGGAAUUCGUUAUGUAAAGCUCUAUCAGCAGGGAAGAAAAUGACGGUACCUGAGUAAGAAGCCCCGGCUAACUACGUGCCAGCAGCCGCGGUAAUACGUAGGGGGCAAGCGUUAUCCGGAUUUACUGGGUUUAAAGGGUGCGUAGGCGUUUCGUUAAGUCAGCGGUAAAAUUGCGGGGCUCAACCGCGGCGAGCGGUUGAAACUGGCAGUCUUGAGUUGGCGAGAAGUACGCGGAAGUCGCGGUGUAGCGGUGAAAUGCAUAGAUAUCGCGCAGAACUCCGAUUGCGAAGGCAGCGUACCGGCGCCAGACUGACGCUGAGGCACGAAAGCGUGGGGAUCGAACAGGAUUAGAUACCCGGGUAGUC
rnacentral:rRNA from 1 species